GAUGAACGCUGGCGGCGUGCCUAAUACAUGCAAGUCGAGCGAACGGACGAGAAGCUUGCUUCUCUGAUGUUAGCGGCGGACGGGUGAGUAACACGUGGAUAACCUACCUAUAAGACUGGGAUAACUUCGGGAAACCGUAGCUAAUACCGGAUAAUAUUUUGAACCGCAUGGUUCAAAAGUGAAAGACGGUCUUGCUGUCACUUAUAGAUGGAUCCGCGCUGCAUUAGCUAGUUGGUAAGGUAACGGCUUACCAAGGCAACGAUGCAUAGCCGACCUGAGAGGGUGAUCGGCCACACUGGAACUGAGACACGGUCCAGACUCCUACGGGAGGCAGCAGUAGGGAAUCUUCCGCAAAGGGCGAAAGCCUGACGGAGCAACGCCGCGUGAGCGAUGAAGGUCUUCGGAUCGUAAAACUCUGUUAUUAGGGAAGAACAUAUGUGUAAGUAACUGUGCACAUCUUGACGGUACCUAAUCAGAAAGCCACGGCUAACUACGUG
rnacentral:rRNA from 1 species